UACGUAGGGUGCAAGCGUUGUCCGGAAUUAUUGGGCGUAAAGAGCUCGUAGGCGGUCUGUCGCGUCGGCUGUGAAAUCUCGGGGCUCAACCCCGAGCCUGCAGUCGAUACGGGCAGACUAGAGUGCUGUAGGGGAGACUGGAAUUCCUGGUGUAGCGGUGAAAUGCGCAGAUAUCAGGAGGAACACCGGUGGCGAAGGCGGGUCGCUGGGCAGCAACUGACGCUGAGGAGCGAAAGCGUGGGGAGCGAACAGG
rnacentral:rRNA from 1 species